GACGAACGCUGGCGGCGUGCCUAAUACAUGCAAGUUGAGCGCUGAAGGUUGGUACUUGUACCAACUGGAUGAGCAGCGAACGGGUGAGUAACGCGUGGGGAAUCUGCCUUUGAGCGGGGGACAACAUUUGGAAACGAAUGCUAAUACCGCAUAAAAACUUUAAACACAAGUUUUAAGUUUGAAAGAUGCAAUUGCAUCACUCAAAGAUGAUCCCGCGUUGUAUUAGCUAGUUGGUGAGGUAAAGGCUCACCAAGGCGAUGAUACAUAGCCGACCUGAGAGGGUGAUCGGCCACAUUGGGACUGAGACACGGCCCAAACUCCUACGGGAGGCAGCAGUAGGGAAUCUUCGGCAAUAGACGAAAGGCUGACCGAGCAACGCCGCGUGAGGGAAGAAGGUUUUCGGAUCGUAAAACUCUGUUGGUAGAGAAGAACGUUGGUGAGAGUGGAAAGCUCAUCAAGUGACGGUAACUACCCAGAAAGGGACGGCUAACUACGUG
rnacentral:rRNA from 1 species